rnacentral:tRNA from 1 species
GGACGCGUGCGGGCUGUCAAAGACGCUUGAAAGGGGAUUGAAAAUCCCCGUGUAGGCGGUUCGAUUCCGUCCUCGGCCACCA